AUUGAACGCUGGCGGAAUGCUUUACACAUGCAAGUCGAACGGCAGCACGGACUUCGGUCUGGUGGCGAGUGGCGAACGGGUGAGUAAUGUAUCGGAACGUGCCCAGUCGUGGGGGAUAACGUAGUGAAAAUUAUGCUAAUACCGCAUACGAUCUAUGGAUGAAAGCGGGGGAUCGCAAGACCUCGCGCGAUUGGAGCGGCCGAUAUCAGAUUAGGUAGUUGGUGGGGUAAAGGCCCACCAAGCCAACGAUCUGUAGCUGGUCUGAGAGGACGACCAGCCACACUGGAACUGAGGCACGGUCCAGAGUCCUACGGGAGGCAGCAGUGGGGAAUUUUGGACAAUGGGCGAAAGCCUGAUCCAGCCAUUCCGCGUGCAGGAUGAAGGCCCUCGGGUUGUAAACUGCUUUUGUACAGAACGAAAAGGUUUCUACUAAUACUAGGAGCUCAUGACGGUACUGUAAGAAUAAGCACCGGCUAACUACGUGCCAGCCGCCGCCGUAA
rnacentral:rRNA from 1 species